UUUCUCCCUCUCCUCUUCUGCCGAAGCUGAGACCUCCUCUGCUUGGAAUCGCUACUUCUACCUGGUGAUUUUAUGUGUCCAUUGAUGCUGGGUUUUCUAAUUCUUUUCUAUGUAAUGGAGGAAUUACGUUCCAUAGCGUAAUGUUUGGCUGCUUCUGCUCACCUUUGUCUUGACCAUCGUAAGUGUGAUUUGAUGAUUUGAGUGUGUUCUUGAAACCCUCAUCGAUGAUCGGAUGAUCAUGCGUUCACGCUGUUCUUCUUGGAUAUCGAUCCUCUUGGUUUCGGCUUGGAUUAGCUUAGGUUCACUUAAUCUGAAUCGAUUUGUGCUGGAUAAGCGCGCUGUUGGUGUGGGUGUUUUCUCUGUGCUUUUUGUUUCGUUUUUCGGCGUGAAGAGAUAUACCGAUCUUGAGGUUGGUGAGAUCUGUGCGAGGUUUGGAUGAUUGUUUAAUGUGGCGGUGAUCCGUUCUUAUUGAUUUCAUGUCUGUGAAAUUUUCUUGAAUUUUGUGGGUUGUCUCAUUUUAGGAGACAGGAGCAGACAGAGGUCGAUGCAGCACGAACUCGAUUCUCCCAGCAAUGGCGACUGCUUCGGUUCAUCGAUCGCGUCAGAACCGUUCGUUACUCCAGAUCGACAGUCUGCAACCCCAUACCUGAACAAAGAUGGAGAUCUUCCCUACUGGUACUCCAUCUUCUCACCCAAGGAGGGCACCCCGUCCCUCGUGACGACCCCUCUCGCUGCUUCUGGUUCCAUCUUAAUCCCUCCCCCGUCGUCGUCCUUCGUCGAGCCGGAAGUUGCUGCCGCCGACUACGGGAACCGCCUCUACCUCGCCCGCCUCACGCUUCAGUAUCAAGAGGUCGCCGAGCGCUACGACCUCUGCCUCUCCGACCUCCGAGACUGCACCGAGGAAAUCGAGUCCCUCCGGCGCGAGAACGCGAGCAUCCGCAUCGCCAACGCCGAGCUUGCCAGGCGGCUCGGCCUGAUCGCCGGGAAGCACGCUGGCCGUGUUCCGUCAUCUGCGUCUGCGGCGCUCGAAGAUGAGUUCCGCCUCCUCAACAUCGCCGAACUUCCACCGCCGUCGCCCGAGGAGAGUCCCACGAGCGUGCUCUCCGUCCAGGAGAGCGGCGGCGGCCACCCGUUCGCGGGACCUCCGGUGGCGGAGAAGCAGGUUUCGUUGCCCAAGAGCAUCUCGAUCCGCUCCAGCGGGUACCUGAAGCUGAACCAGGACGGUAAAUCCAGUUCGGCUGCGAAACGGAACGGCCGGUUUGGCGUCUCCAACCCCGCCAUGGUAAGCAAGCAGCGGGUGUACGUGGGCGGGGACAGCAACAGGAAGAAAGGGGCGAGAAGAGGAAGGGAGGACGGGGAAGAAGAUCGGGAGGGCGGCGAUGGAGGAGGAGCUUUGGAGCUGGAGGUGUACCAUCAGGGAAUGUUCAAAACGGAGCUGUGCAACAAGUGGGAGGAGAGCGGGGAGUGCCCCUACGGCGACCAUUGCCAGUUCGCCCACGGCAUCACCGAGCUCCGCCCCGUCCUCCGCCACCCCCGCUACAAGACCGAGCCCUGCCGCAUGAUUCUCUCCGGCGGCGCCUGUCCUUACGGCCACCGCUGCCACUUCCGCCACUCCUUCUCCCUCGCAGAUCACCAACGUCUCCUCAUCCGCCCUUAGAAGAUCAUUUCCAUGGACAGCCCAUGAGAAGGUACAGGAUCUUUGUCGGAUGUGGCCUUUUCGAGUUGCCUCUUAGAUGUUUAUUCAUCACCGCAAGAUAAAUGUUCUGGUGGAAUUCAGUAACAGAACCCUGUUUGGCCAGAGAUCAACAAGUCUAUACCAUGAUGCUUACUCUUCAGUGUCACACUGCGACCCUCGGAUGAUCAUUCCUUAGUUCCAUAAUAAUCUUCAAAUAGAAUCAGCAAAGAGCCCUCUUUGUCCAGAUAGCAAGGGGUCCUUUGCCGUACAUGGUUGCUAUUCUUCACUGCCAUACAAAUCUUCAGGUGGACCCCAAAACCGAGAGAACCCUGUUUGCCAAGAUAUCAAGAUGCCUGGAGCCAUUACUGCUUUCCUCUAGGGCUCCAAGAUGUGAUAUGUCUGCAAUGAGUUUGACUUCCAAACAGAUAAAAGAAGUGUUAUCCCACCGUUGGAUGCAAUUGACGUAGCCACCCAGAGGCGUUUAUCAUUUA